rnacentral:lncRNA from 1 species
UUUGUAGGUGAAGCUUUGAGGUUGAAGCUUUGUUGGGCACCAUGAAUUGAUUUUGCUUCACACUAUCUUGAUCAAGAUUUUGUGGGUCAACCUUUUUGUAGGUGAAGCUUUUGUGUUGAAGCUUUGUAGGUGAAGCUUUUGUGGGUCAAGCUUUUGUGGGUCAAGCUUUUGUAGGUGAAGCUUUUGUGGGUCAAGCUUUUGUAGGUGAAGCUUUUUGUGGGCGA